rnacentral:rRNA from 1 species
UACGGAGGGAGCUAGCGUUGUUCGGAAUUACUGGGCGUAAAGCGCGCGUAGGCGGCUUUGUAAGUUAGAGGUGAAAGCCCGGAGCUUAACUCCGGAAUUGCCUUUAAGACUGCAUCGCUAGAAUUGUGGAGAGGUAAGUGGAAUUCCGAGUGUAGAGGUGAAAUUCGUAGAUAUUCGGAAGAACACCAGUGGCGAAGGCGACUUACUGGACACAUAUUGACGCUGAGGUGCGAAAGCGUGGGGAGCAAACAGG